GUCUGAAGAUGAUGACAUAAGAACAUGUGGGAAUCUCUCUGAAUAACCAUGAGGAGCUUUUUGACAUGACACACUGAUUCAGAC